AGCUCCAAUAGCGUAUAUUAAAGUUGCUGCAGUUAAAAAGCUCGUAGUUGCAUUUCCGAGGCAAGGGAUUAGUCCGACCUUUGGUGGGUAUUUAAUCCUCUUGCCUCGUCCUUGAGUGGUGCUUCUUGGUAUUAUGUUAUCGUGGAGAUAGCCGCUCAUCGUUUACUGUGAGAAAAUUAGAGUGUUCAAAGCAGGCUUAUGCCGUUGAAUAUAUUAGCAUGGAAUAAUAAGAUAGGACCUCGGUACUAUUUUGUUGGUUUGAGAACCAAGGUAAUGAUGAAUAGGGACAGUUGGGGGUAUUCGUAUUCAGUUGUCAGAGGUGAAAUUCUUAGAUUUACGGAAGACGAACUACUGCGAAAGCAUUUACCAAGGAUGUUUUCA
rnacentral:rRNA from 1 species